rnacentral:rRNA from 1 species
CCUACGGGCGGCAGCAGUGGGGAAUAUUGGACAAUGGGCGAAAGCCUGAUCCAGCCAUGCCGCUUGUGUGAAGAAGGCCUUUUGUUUGUAAAGCACUUUAAGUGGGGAGGAAAAGCUUAUGUUUAAUUCCCAUAAGCCCUGACGUUACCCACAGAAUAAGCACCGGCUAACUCUGUGCCAGCAGCCGCGGUAAUACAGAGGGUGCAAGCGUUAAACGGAAUUACUGGGCGUAAAGCGCGCGUAGGUGGUUAUUUAAGUCAGAUGUGAAAGCCACGGGCUUAACCUGGGAACUGCAUCUGAUACUGGAUAAAUAGAGUAGGUGAGAGGGGAGUAGAAUGCCAGGUGUAGCGGUGAAAUGCGUAGAGAUCUGGAGGAAUACCGAUGGCGAAGGCAGCUCCCUGGCAUAAUACUGACACUGAGGUGCGAAAGCGUGGGUAGCAAACAGGAUUAGAUACCCCAGUAGUC